rnacentral:hammerhead_ribozyme from 1 species
AUUCAGCUGACGAGUUCCGAAUAGGACAAAACGUGCGUCCUGGAU